rnacentral:SRP_RNA from 1 species
UGAGGAGUCCUUGGCGAUAAAAGCCUAUCAAUUCCGCUAGGUCCGAAAGGAAGCAACGGUCGUAGUGACUUUUAGGUGUUCAAGGUUCUCCUCGUUG